rnacentral:rRNA from 1 species
AGAGUUUGAUCCUGGCUCAGGAUGAACGCUAGCGACAGGCCUAACACAUGCAAGUCGAGGGGCAGCACAAUGGUAGCAAUACUAUGGUGGCGACCGGCGCACGGGUGAGUAACACGUAUGCAACCUACCUGUAAGAGGGGAAUAACCCGGAGAAAUUCGGACUAACACCGCAUAAUACUGUUUAUCUGCAUGGGUGAACAGUUAAAUAUUUAUAGCUUACAGAUGGGCAUGCGUAUGAUUAGCUAGUUGGUGAGGUAACGGCUCACCAAGGCAACGAUCAUUAGGGGUUCUGAGAGGAAGGUCCCCCACACUGGUACUGAGACACGGACCAGACUCCUACGGGAGGCAGCAGUGAGGAAUAUUGGUCAAUGGGCGAGAGCCUGAACCAGCCAAGUCGCGUGAAGGAAGAAGGUUCUAUGGAUUGUAAACUUCUUUUGUAAGGGAAUAAAAAACGUCACGUGUGACGUCUUGUAUGUACUUUACGAAUAAGGAUCGGCUAACUCCGUGCCAGCAGCCGCGGUAAUACGGAGGAUCCAAGCGUUAUCCGGAUUUAUUGGGUUUAAAGGGUGCGUAGGCGGAAGAGUAAGUCAGUGGUGAAAGUUUGCAGCUCAACUGUAAAAUUGCCAUUGAAACUGCUUUUCUUGAGUGUAAAUGAGGUAGGCGGAAUGUGUUGUGUAGCGGUGAAAUGCUUAGAUAUAACACAGAACACCAAUUGCGAAGGCAGCUUACUAGGAUACAACUGACGCUGAGGCACGAAAGCGUGGGGAUCAAACAGGAUUAGAUACCCUGGUAGUCCACGCAGUAAACGAUGAAUACUAGCUGUAUGCGAUAUACUGUAUGUGGCAAAGCGAAAGCGUUAAGUAUUCCACU